rnacentral:rRNA from 1 species
AAAAUUGACGUACCUGACUAAGAAGCCCCGGCUACUACGUGCAGCAGCCGCGGUAAUACGUAGGGGCAAGCGUUAUCCGGAUUUACUGGGUGUAAAGGGAGCGUAGACGGCGAAGCAAGUCUGGAGUGAAAACCCAGGGCUCAACCCNGGGACUGCUUUGGAAACUGUUUUGCUAGAGUGUCGGAGAGGUAAGUGGAAUUCNUAGUGUAGCGGUGAAAUGCGUAGAUAUUAGGAGGAACACCAGUGGCGAAGGCGGCUUACUGGACGAUAACUGACGUUGAGGCUCGAAAGCGUGGGGAGCAAACAGGAUUAGAUACCNUGGUAGUNCACGCCGUAAACGAUGAAUGCUAGGUGUUGGGGGGCAAAGCCCUUCGGUGCCGUCGCAAACGCAAUAAGCAUUCCACCUGGGGAGUACGUUCGCAAGAAUGAAACUCAAAGGAAUUGACGGGGACCCGCACAAGCGGUGGAGCAUGUGGUUUAAUUCGAAGCAACGCGAAGAACCUUACCAAGUCUUGACAUCCCCCUGACCGGUCAGUAAAGUGACCUUUCCUUCGGGACAGGGGAGACAGGUGGUGCAUGGUUGUCGUCAGCUCGUGUCGUGAGAUGUUGGGUUAAGUCCCGCAACGAGCGCAACCCUUAUCCUUAGUAGCCAGCAGGUAAAGCUGGGCACUCUAGGGAGACUGCCAGGGAUAACCUGGAGGAAGGUGGGGAUGACGUCAAAUCAUCAUGCCCCUUAUGAUUUGGGCUACACACGUGCUACAAUGGCGUAAACAAAGGGAAGCGACCCUGCGAAGGCAAGCAAAUCCCAAAAAUAACGUCCCAGUUCGGACUGUAGUCUGCAACCCGACUACACGAAGCUGGAAUCGCUAGUAAUCGCGAAUCAGAAUGUCGCGGUGAAUACGUUCCCGGGUCUUGUACACACCGCCCGUCACACCAUGGGAGUCAGCAACGCCCGAAGUCAGUGACCCAACCGAAAGGAGGGAGCUGCCGAAGGCGGGGCAGGUAACUGGGGUGAAGUCGUAACAAGGUAGAAUC